rnacentral:rRNA from 1 species
GACAGAGGGUGCAAACGUUGCUCGGAAUUACUGGGCGUAAAGCGCGUGUAGGCGGGCCGGCAAGUCGGGCGUGAAAUCCCUGGGCUCAACCCAGGAACUGCACUCGAAACUUCCGGUCUAGAGUGGUGGAGAGGGAAGUGGAAUUCCUGGUGUAGAGGUGAAAUUCGUAGAUAUUCGGAAGAACACCAGUGGCGAAGGCGACUUACUGGACGACUGUUGACGCUGAGGUGCGAAAGCGUGGGGAGCAAACAGG